CUGAGAUGGAUUAAAAACAGGUGGAUUUUACUGCUUAACUCAUACUCCACAAAUCUUAUUGACAUUUCUGGGGUAAUUUCCCCUUUAAAAUGACUACACUUCUGAUGGUCACAUCGCUUGUAUUCUUUUGUGACAAGCCUUUGCUACCCUCUUGUGGCUCAAAGGUUUGUUGCUAUUAAUAUCAAUGACUAUUCGACCCAAAACAAUGCUGACUGCAUUUGAAUCACCUCAAUGUGCACUUUUAGAGUUAGGUAUUUUGUUGAUAAAAUUGUAACUGGUACCAAAAAAAUUUUAAUGGCUGUGUUAUAUGCUUAAAAUAUUGUUGAAAUGAAUUUUCACACUUAAAAAUGCUUUUGAGUAAAAUACCUUCCUGAACAUUGACAAGUUUUGGAAAUCUUGCUUGUUAUAUAAUGUACAAACAGAUUGUCAUAUUAUUGUAGAACAAAGAAUAGAGUUUAGCAAACAGUAGGCUUCUCCUGAAUAAAACUACAGUACUUGUUUUAUGA